AGACACUCCCAUGGCAUCUCAGGGCCAUGCAUCAUGAGGAACAGUAGAAUGAUUCCAUAUGAAUGGUAAAGCAAUGAUAAUAACUUGAUCCAAAGGAGCCUUCCAACUGAGGUCAAGCCAGCUGUUACUUGUAUGGUCAAAAACCAUGAUGGUACCUACAAGAUUCCACCCCACUCACUCUUCAAUGUCUGUGCAUCUAAUUACUCCUGGUUGUGAGACAAGAACUUGGACCUAGCUGAGCUAAAGAGCAGAAAGACCAUGACAUUUUGGUGGCCAGUAUGGGACUACCUGGAGGGUGA
rnacentral:lncRNA from 1 species